rnacentral:rRNA from 1 species
AUUGAACGCUGGCGGCAUGCCUUACACAUGCAAGUCGAACGGCAGCACGGGAGCAAUCCUGGUGGCGAGUGGCGAACGGGGGAGUAAAGUAUCGGAACGUGCCCAGUCGUGGGGGAUCACGUAGCGAAAGUUACGCUAAUACCGCAUACGAUCUAUGGAUGAAAGCGGGGGAUCGCAAGACCUCGCGCGCUUGGAGCGGCCGAUAUCAGAUUAGGUAGUUGGUGGGGUAAAGGCUCACCAAGCCGACGAUCUGUAGCUGGUCUGAGAGGACGACCAGCCACACUGGGACUGAGACACGGCCCAGACUCCUACGGGAGGCAGCAGUGGGGAAUUUUGGACAAUGGGCGAAAGCCUGAUCCAGCCAUGCCGCGUGCAGGAUGAAGGCCUUCGGGUUGUAAACUGCUUUUGUACGGAACGAAAAGGUUUGGCCUAAUAAGCUGAGCUCAUGACGGUACCGUAAGAAUAAGCACCGGCUAACUACGUGCCAGCAGCCGCGGUAA